rnacentral:rRNA from 1 species
GUCUACGGCCAUGCCACCCUGAACAAGCCCGAUCCCAUCUGAUCUUGGAAGAUAAGCAGGGUUGGGCCUGGUUAGUACUUGGAUGGGAGACCACCUAGGAAGAUCAUGUGCUAAAGGUA